rnacentral:rRNA from 1 species
AGCGAACGCUGGCGGCAGGCCUAACACAUGCAAGUCGAACGAUCCUUCGGGAUAGUGGCGGACGGGUGAGUAACACGUGGGAACGUGCCCUUUGGUUCGGAACAACUCAGGGAAACUUGAGCUAAUACCGGAUGUGCCCUUCGGGGGAAAGAUUUAUCGCCAUUGGAGCGGCCCGCGUCUGAUUAGCUAGUUGGUGAGGUAAUGGCUCACCAAGGCGACGAUCAGUAGCUGGUCUGAGAGGAUGAUCAGCCACACUGGAACUGAGACACGGCCCAGACUCCUACGGGAGGCAGCAGUGGGGAAUCUUGCGCAAUGGGCGAAAGCUUGACGCAGCCAUGCCGCGUGAAUGAUGAAGGUCUUAGGAUUGUAAAAUUCUUUCACCGGGGACGAUAAUGACGGUACCCGGAGAAGAAGCUCCGGCUAACUUCGUGCCAGCCGCCGCCGUAAUAC